AGCGUACACGGUGGAUGCCCUGGCAGUCAGAGGCGAUGAAGGACGUGCUAAUCUGCGAUAAGCGUCGGUAAGGUGAUAUGAACCGUUAUAACCGGCGAUUUCCGAAUGGGGAAACCCAGUGUGUUUCGACACACUAUCAUUAACUGAAUCCAUAGGUUAAUGAGGCGAACCGGGGGAACUGAAACAUCUAAGUACCCCGAGGAAAAGAAAUCAACCGAGAUUCCCCCAGUAGCGGCGAGCGAACGGGGAGCAGCCCAGAGCCUGAAUCAGUGUGUGUGUUAGUGGAAGCGUCUGGAAAGGCGUGCGAUACAGGGUGACAGCCCCGUACACAAAAAUGCACAUGCUGUGAGCUCGAUGAGUAGGGCGGGACACGUGGUAUCCUGUCUGAAUAUGGGGGGACCAUCCUCCAAGGCUAAAUACUCCUGACUGACCGAUAGUGAACCAGUACCGUGAGGGAAAGGCGAAAAGAACCCCGGCGAGGGGAGUGAAAAAGAACCUGAAACCGUGUACGUACAAGCAGUGGGAGCACGCUUAGGCGUGUGACUGCGUACCUUUUGUAUAAUGGGUCAGCGACUUAUAUUCUGUAGCAAGGUUAACCGAAUAGGGGAGCCGAAGGGAAACCGAGUCUUAACUGGGCGUUAAGUUGCAGGGUAUAGACCCGAAACCCGGUGAUCUAGCCAUGGGCAGGUUGAAGGUUGGGUAACACUAACUGGAGGACCGAACCGACUAAUGUUGAAAAAUUAGCGGAUGACUUGUGGCUGGGGGUGAAAGGCCAAUCAAACCGGGAGAUAGCUGGUUCUCCCCGAAAGCUAUUUAGGUAGCGCCUCGUGAAUUCAUCUCCGGGGGUAGAGCACUGUUUCGGCAAGGGGGUCAUCCCGACUUACCAACCCGAUGCAAACUGCGAAUACCGGAGAAUGUUAUCACGGGAGACACACGGCGGGUGCUAACGUCCGUCGUGAAGAGGGAAACAACCCAGACCGCCAGCUAAGGUCCCAAAGUCAUGGUUAAGUGGGAAACGAUGUGGGAAGGCCCAGACAGCCAGGAUGUUGGCUUAGAAGCAGCCAUCAUUUAAAGAAAGCGUAAUAGCUCACUGGUCGAGUCGGCCUGCGCGGAAGAUGUAACGGGGCUAAACCAUGCACCGAAGCUGCGGCAGCGACGCUUAUGCGUUGUUGGGUAGGGGAGCGUUCUGUAAGCCUGCGAAGGUGUGCUGUGAGGCAUGCUGGAGGUAUCAGAAGUGCGAAUGCUGACAUAAGUAACGAUAAAGCGGGUGAAAAGCCCGCUCGCCGGAAGACCAAGGGUUCCUGUCCAACGUUAAUCGGGGCAGGGUGAGUCGACCCCUAAGGCGAGGCCGAAAGGCGUAGUCGAUGGGAAACAGGUUAAUAUUCCUGUACUUGGUGUUACUGCGAAGGGGGGACGGAGAAGGCUAUGUUGGCCGGGCGACGGUUGUCCCGGUUUAAGCGUGUAGGCUGGUUUUCCAGGCAAAUCCGGAAAAUCAAGGCUGAGGCGUGAUGACGAGGCACUACGGUGCUGAAGCAACAAAUGCCCUGCUUCCAGGAAAAGCCUCUAAGCAUCAGGUAACAUCAAAUCGUACCCCAAACCGACACAGGUGGUCAGGUAGAGAAUACCAAGGCGCUUGAGAGAACUCGGGUGAAGGAACUAGGCAAAAUGGUGCCGUAACUUCGGGAGAAGGCACGCUGAUAUGUAGGUGAGGUCCCUCGCGGAUGGAGCUGAAAUCAGUCGAAGAUACCAGCUGGCUGCAACUGUUUAUUAAAAACACAGCACUGUGCAAACACGAAAGUGGACGUAUACGGUGUGACGCCUGCCCGGUGCCGGAAGGUUAAUUGAUGGGGUUAGCGCAAGCGAAGCUCUUGAUCGAAGCCCCGGUAAACGGCGGCCGUAACUAUAACGGUCCUAAGGUAGCGAAAUUCCUUGUCGGGUAAGUUCCGACCUGCACGAAUGGCGUAAUGAUGGCCAGGCUGUCUCCACCCGAGACUCAGUGAAAUUGAACUCGCUGUGAAGAUGCAGUGUACCCGCGGCAAGACGGAAAGACCCCGUGAACCUUUACUAUAGCUUGACACUGAACAUUGAGCCUUGAUGUGUAGGAUAGGUGGGAGGCUUUGAAGUGUGGACGCCAGUCUGCAUGGAGCCGACCUUGAAAUACCACCCUUUAAUGUUUGAUGUUCUAACGUUGACCCGUAAUCCGGGUUGCGGACAGUGUCUGGUGGGUAGUUUGACUGGGGCGGUCUCCUCCUAAAGAGUAACGGAGGAGCACGAAGGUUGGCUAAUCCUGGUCGGACAUCAGGAGGUUAGUGCAAUGGCAUAAGCCAGCUUGACUGCGAGCGUGACGGCGCGAGCAGGUGCGAAAGCAGGUCAUAGUGAUCCGGUGGUUCUGAAUGGAAGGGCCAUCGCUCAACGGAUAAAAGGUACUCCGGGGAUAACAGGCUGAUACCGCCCAAGAGUUCAUAUCGACGGCGGUGUUUGGCACCUCGAUGUCGGCUCAUCACAUCCUGGGGCUGAAGUAGGUCCCAAGGGUAUGGCUGUUCGCCAUUUAAAGUGGUACGCGAGCUGGGUUUAGAACGUCGUGAGACAGUUCGGUCCCUAUCUGCCGUGGGCGCUGGAGAACUGAGGGGGGCUGCUCCUAGUACGAGAGGACCGGAGUGGACGCAUCACUGGUGUUCGGGUUGUCAUGCCAAUGGCACUGCCCGGUAGCUAAAUGCGGAAGAGAUAAGUGCUGAAAGCAUCUAAGCACGAAACUUGCCCCGAGAUGAGUUCUCCCUGACUCCUUGA
rnacentral:rRNA from 1 species